rnacentral:rRNA from 1 species
GGCGAACGGGUGAGUAACACGUGAGUAACCUGCCCUUAACUCUGGGAUAAGCCUGGGAAACUGGGUCUAAUACCGGAUAGGAGCGUCCACCGCAUGGUGGGUGUUGGAAAGAUUUAUCGGUUUUGGAUGGACUCGCGGCCUAUCAGCUUGUUGGUGAGGUAAUGGCUCACCAAGGCGACGACGGGUAGCCGGCCUGAGAGGGUGACCGGCCACACUGGGACUGAGACACGGCCCAGACUCCUACGGGAGGCAGCAGUGGGGAAUAUUGCACAAUGGGCGAAAGCCUGAUGCAGCGACGCCGCGUGAGGGAUGACGGCCUUCGGGUUGUAAACCUCUUUCAGUAGGGAAGAAGCGAAAGUGACGGUACCUGCAGAAGAAGCACCGGCUAACUACGUGCCAGCAGCCGCGGUAAUACGUAGGGUGCGAGCGUUAUCCGGAAUUAUUGGGCGUAAAGAGCUCGUAGGCGGUUUGUCGCGUCUGUCGUGAAAGUCCGGGGCUUAACCCCGGAUCUGCGGUGGGUACGGGCAGACUAGAGUGCAGUAGGGGAGACUGGAAUUCCUGGUGUAGCGGUGGAAUGCGCAGAUAUCAGGAGGAACACCGAUGGCGAAGGCAGGUCUCUGGGCUGUAACUGACGCUGAGGAGCGAAAGCAUGGGGAGCGAACAGGAUUAGAUACCCUGGUAGUCCAUGCCGUAAACGUUGGGCACUAGGUGUGGGGACCAUUCCACGGUUUCCGCGCCGCAGCUAACGCAUUAAGUGCCCCGCC